rnacentral:rRNA from 1 species
UACGUAGGGUGCGAGCGUUAAUCGGAAUACUGGGCGUAAAGCGUGCGCAGGCGGUGAUGUAAGACCGAUGUGAAAUCCCCGGGCUUAACCUGGGAACUGCAUUGGUGACUGCAUUGCUGGAGUAUGGCAGAGGGGGGUGGAAUUCCACGUGUAGCAGUGAAAUGCGUAGAGAAUGUGGAGGAACACGAUGGCGAAGGCAGCCCCCUGGGCCAAUACUGACGCUCAUGCACGAAAGCGUGGGGAGCAAACAG